rnacentral:tRNA from 1 species
GGAGGAGGUCACUCCCAUGAGCUACGUGGUCUUGAAAACCGGUAAGGGGGCAACCUCUUCGUGGGUUCGAAUCCCACACCCUCCG